rnacentral:rRNA from 1 species
GUAAGGAAUAUUGGUCAAUGGAGGGAACUCUGAACCAGCCAUGCCGCGUGCAGGACGACUGCCCUAUGGGUUGUAAACUGCUUUUGUACGGGAAUAAACACUGGUACGUGUACCAGCUUGAAUGUACCGUAAGAAUAAGGAUCGGCUAACUCCGUGCCAGCAGCCGCGGUAAUACGGAGGAUCCGAGCGUUAUCCGGAUUUAUUGGGUUUAAAGGGUGCGUAGGCGGCUUAUUAAGUCAGGGGUGAAAGACGGCAGCUCAACUGUCGCAGUGCCUUUGAUACUGAUGAGCUUGAAUGUGAUUGAAGAUGGCGGAAUGAGACAAGUAGCGGUGAAAUGCAUAGAUAUGUCUCAGAACUCCAAUUGCGAAGGCAGCUAUCUAAGUCAUGAUUGACGCUGAUGCACGAAAGCGUGGGGAUCGAACAGGAUUAGAUACCCUUGUAGUCC